GCAACGAGCGCAACCCUAUCAUCUGUUGCCAGCAUUUAAGUGGGGACGUCAGAUGAGACUAGCCGGUGGACGAAACCGGAGGAAGGUGGGGACGACGUCAAGUCAUCCAUGGCCCUUAUGUCCUGGGCUACACACGUGCGUACAAUGGCCGGUACAGAGUGAAGCGAAACCGCGAGGUGAAGCAAAACGCAGAAAAGCCGGUCUCAGUACGGAUUGGAGUCUGAAACUCGACUUCAUGAAGUUGGAAUCGCUAGUAAUCGCGCAUCAGCAUGGCGCGGUGAAUACGUUCCCGGGCCUU
rnacentral:rRNA from 1 species